rnacentral:rRNA from 1 species
GGACUACUGGGGUAUCUAAUCCUGUUUGCUACCCUAGCUUUCGCGCCUCAGCGUCAGUACCGGUCCAGGUAGCCGCCUUCGCCACCGGUGUUCCUCCCAAUAUCUACGCAUUUCACCGCUACACUGGGAAUUCCACUACCCUCUCCCGGACUCUAGCCGAGCAGUUUAAGACGCAGUUCCUUGGUUGAGCCAAGGGAUUUCACGUCAGACUUACCCGACCGCCUACGCGCCCUUUACGCCCAAUAAUUCCGAACAACGCUGGCCCCCUCCGUAUUACCGCGGCGGCUGGCAC